CUGAAACGGAGCCAUGUUUUGCUGCUUUUGAGCAGCCCUGGGAAGCCGGCCUGGAAAAGAUGCUCACAGGUGAUGGGAAGACCCCUGGCUUGUGUUGAAGAGCGAGCCGGAGUUGCCGUGGUGUGGGUGCAGGGCGCUCCAUGUCAGCCACCACCAUCCAGGGGGCUGAUCAUCCUGCCCUUGUAUUGGUGUUUUGUCGAGGCUUUCCUAAGAAGCCUUUCUAGCUCCUGGGUGUCUGAGGAUAAAGUGUGGGUUUCUUAGUUUGGAGAGGCUGGGGGAGAGGUGGAUGGCUGAGUGCUCCAGUGACUUUUUCCUUAUUCUCCACCAUUGUCCUGGGUUGGUUCAUUCUCUGCGUUAGCGUCUCAAGCUGGAAAAUUCUCUUGACGUGCUUAUUACGCUUAGUUUUGACUUCCUGCAGGUAGAAGGGGAGCUCUGUGGGGGCCUGGCCCCUUUGGUUCUUAUUUAUCCUUAUAUUCUGUUCCUCCACAGUGCCUCAGACUGAUGAUGCCAUAACCUGUGACCGACUGCCCACACCUCUGUUCAUUAAUGUGCUUCUUGCCCAUGAGGAAAGCUGGGUGAUGUGAAGAGUGGAACUUCAAUGUUGGCCCAAAAUGUUCGUGUGCCCCUUUCAACUUCAGUGUGGACUCUUGAUCAAAGUCGUUUCUGUGGCUCUGACGCGAUGGCAGGAAUUCUCUAACAGCUGUUUGCUAUUUUCUCCCUGAAAAUCUCUCAGUAGACACUAAGUAAAGAAAAGGAAUGAACUGUAAUCGAGAAUGUCUGUAUCUGGGGGUAAAAUGGGCCGAUAUUCUGGGAAGAUGUAGGGAGUUGGAGAGGCUGCUUUCCCCUGCUCUUUUAAGUGGAGAUAAUAAACUGUCCUAAUUAUAAGAAACAGUGGUUAAAGGGGAAAAUGGGGACCUGGGCUAGAAGUGUGUCCUGGCUUCGUGGCUUACUGGCUGGGGGCCUGUGGGCGAGCAGAUAACCAUUCUCAACCUGUUUCCUUGUUUCUGAAUCUGGAGAACACACACUUCGUGGGGCUGAGGUGAAGCUCAGGUGAAAUACCUUCGAGAAAAUACCUUGCAGAGUCCUAGAUGGAGAUUAGAUUACGCUAAAAGCUAGUUGUUUUUCUUCCUUUCACGCUCAACUUUACUUUUCUUGUUUAUUAGCAGGGUUGAGACUGUGCUUUUAUUGUAGGGAUUUUGGGUA